UACAGAGACUGCAAGCGUUAUUCGGAUUCACUGGGCGUAAAGGGUGCGCAGGCGGCCAAGUGGGUGAGGCGUGAAAGCCCGAUGCUCAACAUCGGAAUUGCACCUCAAACUACAUGGCUAGAGCAUUGGAGAGGGUAGCGGAAUUCACGGUGUAGCAGUGAAAUGCGUAGAUAUCGUGAGGAACACCAGAGGCGAAGGCGGCUACCUGGACAAUUGCUGACGCUCAGGCACGAAAGCGUGGGGAGCAAAAGGG
rnacentral:rRNA from 1 species